GCCGGUUUGGCUCAGUGGAUAGAGCGUUGGCCUGUGGAAUAAAGGGUGCUGGGUUCCAUUCCCGGAUUUGGUU
rfam:Myotis brandtii contig184610, whole genome shotgun sequence.